UCGUGAGCUAGCCCCACCGCAUGAUGUUGGCGUCUAAUUUCAGGGUCUCUAAUCAGGAUUACAUGGACUGGCUGUACAGCGACGGCACCACCGUCGACACAAGAGCACGUACACGCUUGACUGGAUUUGUUGGAACACAGUAGUAUACAAUCUUGCUUUGAGGCAGGCCUUACAGGCUUGGUUGUGUUUGAAAAAAAAUACGUGCUUGGCUUGAUAUUUUUUAGAACAAGUAUACGAUCUGGCUUUCAUGUAGUACGUACAUGUUUGACUGGAUUUUUAGGAUGCACAAGUGUCUUCUUAAAGGCAGGCUGCUGGAUCAAUUUCAUCUAUUACUGCUACUUUUUCGACCGGCCGGAAAUACACAGGCUUACUACAAUGGUAUAGUGU
rnacentral:lncRNA from 1 species